GGAGAGGUGGCCGAGUGGUUUAAGGCGCACGCUUGGAAAGCGUGUAUGCUAGCAAUAGUAUCGAGGGUUCGAAUCCCUUCCUCUCCUCCA
rnacentral:tRNA from 1 species